UCAAAUGUUUUUCUUAUGAUUUGUUUUCAGAGUCUUUGUUUGAAUCACGUCAGUAAAUUCAUAAGGCAUCUGCAGACCUCAUGGUUUUAUCAAUGGACUUUAGUGAUUUUAUUAUUCUUACUUUCACGUUAUAGAAGUGAGUGCUGUGUUCAUUAGACACAUUAAAGCCAAUGAAAACCUGAACUAUUACUAAAAAGUAAAAGAGGCUCAGAGAAGGAGCACUUAACACCGGGCCCAAUUUUUUCAACAUUCAACAAUAGUACUGGAAACCGAACCAUCAAUUUGACUGAACGAAAUGUAAAAAAAAAACAAAAGACUUUAUUUGUAUCUAUUCAUUAAAAUGAAGUUUUUAAAAAACCCUACCAUUAAACUGAAAAUUCCAGAAAACAAAGUCUAAUAAAACUAACAACCCCUUUCCUCUCACCACGUUUACUCUGACCCCAGGGGCCUACACCCCAGACUAAAUUGGCACUUUUAGCUCUUUCUACCAUUAUUCGGGGCUGAUGAUAAAACAGCCCUUUGUCCUACUUUAUAGUCAGGGAAUCUGUCCAUUAAAAAGAGCCCCUUUAACCUGCAACAAAGAUGUAACACUUUCGUCAUAUUCAGCAGCAGGCAUGAUGCACAGCAGAUUUUAAGCAGAUUUUCCACAAAGCAAUGACUUUUCCAGGUGCAUGUGACACAUGACUGCGUCUCUUAUUCCAGCUGUUCGCCCCGCUUGAAAAACACUUCAGUUGCCAGGGCCCUACAAAGUUACAGUUUUUGUUCUGCUUAUGCUGAAAGACUAAGCAGUCCCUGCCUUCUGACCUUGUCUGUUUGUGUUAACCCAAAUUCCUUAUAAUCAGCAGCAAGAGGCAGGAAUGUAAUGUGUACUGCAUACUGGGGGGUUGACGUUAUCUGGGUGAACACAACUGUGUGUUGCCAAUACAUGUGGGAGUAGCAGUGACCUCUGCACUUUGCUGGAAUCUGCGUUAAGUGGUGUAAGUUUCUGCAAUAACUCUGUGAAAACUUCCACACUGGAUUUGCAUUCCUUUUCGAGCGACAGAGCGAAUCUCAGUGGGUGAGCAGGGGGAGAAGGGGGAGAUAGAUGAGUAAAAGAGGAGCAGUGAAAUGAAAAACAAGUCUUUUUUUUUCUUUUUUGUAUGUACACUGGCAUUGUGCCUCUCUAUUUACAUGCAUGUGCAAUAUUGAUACAAGAUAUUUUUGUAUAUACAAAAAAGAAAACAAAUGAAUGCACCGACAUGGGGAAGGAGAAAACAACACAGAAACAAAUAUGUGUAGUUUUGCAAUUCUACCAGAGGUUACAGACCCAGAAAGCCUUGGAUCCUUCUGCUCUGUGUGUGUAUUGCACUCCCCCACACACCCUCCACACGCAGUCUCUCGGUUAUGGAGGGCAGCUCAGUAGAGGAGUAAUGUUAUCACAACUAACUUUGUGGAAGCCACCUGUAGACAAACUCUCAGAUUCACUGCCUUCCAGUGAAGUAAAAUCCCAAAAUGCCGGCAGACCUUGAAGUGUAGCAAUAGGUGAUUUUGAGGAUGAAAAAAAGUGGAUGUCUCAAUAAAAUGAAGACAUGCUGUUAGUUGGGAGGUGGACUCUUCAUUGAGGACUUAAGAAACCUUAAACUAAAUUAAAAAAAUAGAAAGAAGUGGGAGUUCUGGUGUUAGCUACAGUUUAUCCGAGUUAAAAAUAGCAAUAGAAAUUCAUCUUUCGAUGGACUUUUAAAAUGUAUGGUGGGUUUAUGGCUGUCUAGGCACUGUUGUGACUUCGACGCCCUCUGCUGGACAAACUCUGAGCCAAGUUUGCCUGUUACUUAUGAACAGAGGAUACUGUAUCUUUGCAUGUGCCAGUUUGUGUAAGGAAGCUAAUGGGGGGGAGGGGCGCACAUUUUAGAAUAAUAUGACAUGUCAAGAUGAAAUAAGUGUUUAAACCUAAGAAAAUAAAUGCAAAUUAUAAUUGUAAUAUAAGAGAUUCCAAGACAACAUUCUCAGGAUGACUGACCAACCAACGAGCAGCUCAAACCAAUACUAGCCAAUAGGAUGAGGGCGGGGGUGGGACAUGUGCGUCUCGAUGACGACGGAGUAGUGUCGUAUUUGUGCGAUAAUUCACCCUCUGUGGGGUCGAUAGCUCCCUAAAAUCCAUCUUAUACGCCCUCAUAACAUGGAUGGGUCAAUCAGCACGAAAGCAAAUGGUGCCUCUCAGUCGUCAUUAUGCUCAGUAGCCUCUGAUGACAGUCAUCCUGAAUUGUGUGUGUGUGUGAAGAAGCAGCUGCUGAAGAAGGAAGCCAGCCUUAAAGGCCAUGCCUUACAAACUAUGAUGCAAAAGCGAACGAGCAAGAUUUCAGACUUUUGUUUGGAUAGACCACUGCCAACAUAUUCUUGGAGAAGUGGCCAACUUCUGUCAAAGCUAAAGUAAUAAUGGAGAGUCAUCGACUUGUACCCACUACAGAACUCCUGGAUUUGAUGCGCAGUGCAGAGUCAGCGGCUGAAGUUGAGAAUGGUACGACUUUGUUUACUUGAUAUUUCUGAUUGCACACGUGUGCAGUGCCCUUUUUGGUAAUGGUGCUUACUGCCCACAUUUGAUUGUCUGUGGCAGAGUUGAAUCUAAAAUGCCCCUGUUUUUUUAGUUUGAUUAUUGAAUUGUUUUGGUUAUUGUGCUGAUUAUAGAUGGAAAACUGUUAUUGCUUACUGUGCCUUUAAUUCCAAUUACUUUUCAAGAGCAUCUCCAUGCAUAUGAAGUGAGUAGGUCAAAGCAUGAUUUUGUUCACUUUCAUGUGGACAACCUGCAAUAUUCUAGGCCUUUUGACCUACAAAGGUCAUGUGGAGUGAAUAACUCUUCAUUAUUCAUUGUCCCAUAUUGCUUUCUUUUGUAAGCUUUCAUUUUUAUUUUAAUAUAUCACAGAGACAAUGCAAAUAUGGAGAUCACAGGCACCUUAAUGAUUUCUAAAAUAAAUACUGGCACUGGUAAUACUA